rnacentral:rRNA from 1 species
CAGCCGCCACGGUAAUACGAAGGGGGCUAGCGUUGCUCGGAAUGACUGGGCGUAAAGGGCGCGUAGGCGGCGAUCAAAGUCAGGCGUGAAAUUCCUGGGCUCAACCUGGGGGCUGCGUUUGAUACUUGAUUGCUAGAGUGGGGAAGAGGGUCGUGGAAUUCCCAGUGUAGAGGUGAAAUUCGUAGAUAUUGGAAGGAACACCUGUGGCGAAAGCGGCUCACUGGACCAUUUCUGACGCUGAUGCACGAAAGCUAGGGGAGCAAACAGGAUUAGAUACCCGAGUAGUCCCUGUCUCUUAUAA